rnacentral:rRNA from 1 species
CCUACGGGAGGCAGCAGUAGGGAAUCUUUCACAAUGGGCGAAAGCCUGAAGGAGCAACGCAGCGUGCAGGAUGAAGGCCUUAGGGUUGUAAACUGGUUUUAUAAGCGAGAAAUAUGAAGGUAACUUAUGAAUAAGGAUCGGAUAACUACGUGCCAGCAGCCGCGGUCAUACGUAGGAUCCGGGCAUUAUCCGGAGUGACUGGGCGUAAAGAGGUGCGUAGGGGGCAUAAUAAGUAGCUAGUGAAAUCUGGUGGCUUAACCAUUCAGACUAUUAGCUAAACUGUUAAGCUCGAGACCGUUAGGGGUAACUGGAAUUUCUAGUGUAGGAGUGAAAUCCGUAGAUAUUAGAAGGAACACCAAUAGCGUAGGCAGGUUACUGGGACGUUUCUGACACUAAGGCACGAAAGCGUAGGGAGCAAACGGGAUUAGAUACCCGGGUAGUC